UUUUAUUUGCUGUUUAAAGGUUUUUGUCAAUUUAUUGAAGCCACUUUGUAUAUCAACUGGGGGAAGAGCCUGUAGUGAGGAGUUAGUAGAGAAAAUGGUGUCCGCAUCCGAGCACCAUUGUUUAGGAUCUAUUUUGUUAGUAAGGAAGCCAGCCAUUAGUCCAAUAGUGUGAAUUCUAAUUCUUAAAUAGGUAUUCUCUAGAGCAAGAUGUGUAUAGGGCUUAGUGGUGCAUAACACCUAAAUACAAAAAAGAGAUAAG